AGAACCUCCGAUAAUGGCAUUGCCUAGUGCAGUGGUGGAUCUUCAGAAUCACAACCGUGUGCCCCGUCAUCCUCCGUUUAUCGCCCGUCGAGCAUUUCAGCUGCAGCUUUCGGUCAUCUACAGCCCUUGAAACUGCAGCAAAGUCGGUGUAUUCUUUCUGUGGUGUAGCAUUCCUCGUGUGCUGUAAACAAGCUUGGUUCCAUGGCUCACCAGGCUGUGCUUUCCUUCAAUAUGGUGUGUCAAAAUCCAGUUUUUGUUGCGAGAAUGAACCGUGACCUUAGUGCUUUUUGGUGGUUGUUUGGUGCAACUAGGGGUUGGCAUAAAAUCCGAUACCUGGACCUGACUCCGAAUACUCGAACCUGAAUUACCGGCUCGCUAUUUUCGGAUUGUAAGUAUACGAUCAAUCUGAUUUUAGUUUGGGUGAUUCGGCUAUUAGCCCCCAGUACCUGAUGUACCCAUUUUAUAUGAAAAAAAUGGGAAGACUAUAUGCUAUUUGGUUGUGAUUGACUAAUUAUGUGGUUUCCUAAUGUCAAUUUUUGAGGUAAUUGGGAACUACUCAUCUUUCUUUUUCCUUAAAUGCUGCUAAAGAACUGCUGUUUAUAGUACUUAGAAUUCCUGUUAUAGCUAUGUCCAUUACAAUGGUUUUACUGGUCUCAGAUAGCUUGGGGACGCUACUAUUUUCUCUGGACAAAUUUCGAAAACCUAGUUUUUUGAAAACCCAAAUUAUCUUACUUAGAACUUUAAUGGCUGUCCACAUUAGCGGGCUAUAGUAAAUCUAUAGUGGCUCACACCAGUUGUCGCUAUAGUACAGUUGUACUAAACAGUGAACUAUAGCAGGAACUACCGUGGUUAACUUCACUAAAUGCUAAGGCCUUGUUUAGUUCGUAAAAAAAUUUGGAUUUUGACACGGUAGCAUCUUUGUUUUUAUUUGACAAAUAUUGUUUAAUAUUGGAGUAACUAGGCUUAAAAGAUUCGUCUCGCGAUUUACAGAUAAAUUAUGCAAUUAGUUUUUGUUUUUAUGAAUAUUUAAUGCACCAUGCAUGUGCCGCAAGAUUCGAUGUGACAGGAAAUCUUGAAAAUUUUUGGAAACUACCUAAAGCGUGCUAUUUAGAACGCUAGCCUGCUAUUUGGAACGCUAAAUGUUAUAGCCUGCGGUGUAUAGAACAUUUGAUUUUGAUUAAUGCUGUUCAUUUUUGCACGGAUCCCAAAGCAUCUCCUGCUGGUGAUGGUGAGGGUAGACGAUGUGGGGGUUUUAGUGGAGUGGGAAACAGGGCCUGAGCUCUCGUCCGUCCGAUCAUGGCUCCUGCCGCCCGAUGGCCGCCACGACCAUCGUCCUCGCCCCGCGUCAGUCGCUCCCGUCACUCCUUAUCCCUUCCUCCCUGUCCGCCAAAGAAAAUCCCCCCAUCGCGUGCGCUGCGCCUCCUUCCCCAUCCGCACGCACCCGCCCGCCGCUGCUCCUCCGGCAGCGUCGCCACCGCCACGCGCCCACCCGCAACCCGCCCGAACGGCCGGCCAGCGCUGUCUGGUAUUAGUGGUACUAGUAUCUAUCAAAUCAGCCAUCUGCCCUCUGCCCUCCUAUCCAAAAUCAAGUCCAUUUCCAUUUCCCUUUCCUCUCUACCCUCACUCUCGUCUCCGGCGGGCGGUGGUCUCACUCACCUCCCUUUCCCCGUCGCCCCCUGAUGGCUCCCUCGGCAGCUCUCGCUCCGGCGGCCUUCCGCUCCGCCUUCUCGACGCCGCUCGCGUCCAACCCUACCCGUAAGUCCCAACGCUCUCCAGCUUUUACGCCCCGUUUCGGUCGGUUCUUACUCGAGUUACGAUUUAGAGCCAGCGGGAGUAAGUAGGAAAUCUGGAAUCAGUUCCUCCCCAACGGCAGCGCAGCGCAUUAUCCAUGCGCUGGGUGUCUGAUUUGGGGAAGAGUUCCAUUGGAGGUGGUGUCGUUGUCUAGGGCGUCGGCGGGGGCUGCGUGCGGGAACGCCAGGUCGCGGCUUUGUUGGGACUUGGGAGCAGCGUUCGGUGAUGGUAGCCGGCUGCCUGGCCUGGAGCCGUUGAGCUCGAGUCGGGGUCUCGAAACGAGUAGAACUGUCCAUUUUGCAACAAUUACAAAGCUGUUACCUUCCUAUGAAUAAUCACGAGCAUGAGAAAAUUACUCUAGAUUUUUGGAUUUACUAUGGACUCUCGUUCCUUUGUUGAACCAAAACCUUUAUAAAAUGGGCUCUUGUGCAAUAUUCCAGUCUGCCAUUCUUUUGUACUGAUGAGUCACCAGUGCAUACUUGAUAAUUUGAUAUUGGAUUGGGUAACAUCUAAACUGUCUUAUGCCCACUGUUGUGUCUGUUGUUCAGGUAAUAGAAUAAACAUAGAAGGUGCUUUCUGUUUGCCUUGUUCCACAAGGAAGAGAGCUAGUUAUAGACCUUUUCGAGUGUACAGUUUAUUUGGAGGGAAGAAGGAUAAAGAUGAGAACGGUGAUGAGCCAUCGAAAGUAAGUAAUUGACUAAUCAUCUUAUUUUCAGUAUUAUUGUGAAGGUUCCGUUCCUAAUAAUAGCUCGAACUAAGAAAAACUUUCUAAUUUCAUUUUUUUGUGGAUAAUUCAUUAGGCAUAUAUUUAUGUGAGAACUGAAGAAGUCCAUUUUUUGCCACUCAACUACAGCUUAGUAUGAUUUUGUCCAUUCAACUCUGAACAAGAAAUCUUUGGCCGUUGAACAAUGAAAAUCGUUCAUGUUUGGUCAUUGAGCUGGUUUCAUUGGUGUUUUUGCUGACGUCGAUGACAUGUGGCAAUAGGCGCACUCAUCAAACCUCUCUUCUCUCUCUCUCUCUCUCUCUCUCCCCUCCCCAUGCCAUCUAUUUCACCGUCUCUCCCCCCAUGCGCGCCAUGGGAGCCUCCUCAUCACGUCUCUCUCCCUCCUCCACUAGGGUACUGCCACCGCCUCCCCGAAUGUGCAGCACAUGUCCUAGCCCAGGUCCACAUCCAUGCCUGUGAGGGAGGGAGGGCUGACAAGUGGGUCCCAUUGCGUGUAGUCCACGUCAGCGAAAACCACCACCAAAAUGAUUUAGAUGUCCAAAUGUAAACGGUUUCAAUAGUUGGUUGGUCGAAGAUUUCUGGUUUUUGAAUUUCACGGUGGAAAUCAAACUUGAGUGAUAGUUUGAUGGCGAAAAAAUGGACUUGUCCCUAUAUUUAUGACACAAAUAAAGAACAGCAUGCAAAGAAUUUUAGGGAAAUGAGCUUUUAUGAGCAGAUAACACCUAAUCUUUAUGCCGCGAGGCAUGCAACCCAAAAUCUCAAGCUUUUUCUUUGUUUGGAUAGUUGAGUAGUGAUUGUUCAUGCGAAAAAUAACUCUGCUCAUACAUAAUUCUCUUUGUAAGACAGUUACUUUUGAAGAUUGCCAAACUGAUUCCGGUCAUUUAGUUUAUUACUCAUUUCGUAGUUGGCAUUUUGUUUAUAACGAUCUUGAAGCCCUCUUCUUAAUAACUUUAGGCAGGAAUUUUUGGAAAUAUGCAAAAUCUAUAUGAAACUGUUAAGAAGGCCCAAAUGGUUGUCCAAGUUGAGGCUGUCCGGGUGCAGAAGGAGCUUGCAGCGUAUGCAUUUAUAUCAUUAACUUUCUCAUGUUGGUGCAAAAUAGCCUGUCUCCGCAACUUUAUUUUUUCUCCCAUUUUCUAGGACUGAGAUUGAUGGCUAUUGUGAAGGUGAACUAAUCAAGGUAUCUUUGGGAAAGCCUUUUAUUCUAUUCUCUGUAUUUAAACUUUGUUUAUCCCUGCCAAUUAAUUGAGUUCUUACAUUAUUGAGAAAAACUAAUGAUUGGGCCUGUUAAAAUCUUAGCAUCAUUAAUAGCCCAUCAAUAUUUUUCUAUUCAUAAUCUAGUCAUGUUGUAUAUAUGAGAUUAUGGUUCUUGUCUUUCCUAUAAGGUUUUCAAUUGUUAUAUUAACUACACAAAGUCACUUUACUUUUAUUAGCUCUGGGUCUAGAUAAAACUGUAUAGUAAAUAUUUGGGUUUAGGUCACUCUUAUGUCUUAUGCAUUGUUUUGACAUACGGACACUGGCAAAGCUGUUCGUUUCAAGGCAAAUAGUUGAUGUAUCGUGCAGGUGUUGUUAUAAAUAAAAGUGAAACAAUAUAUGUGGGCAUCUAGAAUGUGGCAUCUUGUAAGUUGGUAAAAACUAUGUGUUAUUGGGGUUUUAUGUGCCCUAUGUAUUUAUCGGUACUACAAAGUAUUAACUUAAGCGCUUUAGCUCUUUUGUGUUUCUCUACAUCCAAUCCUUACCCAGGUUCAUAAUUGUAUUUGAUCCUCUCGAUAGGUUACACUUUCUGGAAACCAGCAACCUAUUAGAGUUGAAAUCACGGAAGCUGCAAUGGAGUUGGGUGCUGAAGUAUGUAUCAUGCCUUUGCUUCUUUGAUUAUUUUAUCUGAAGUUUUUGCGUGAGAUAAUGUUGUCAUGACUGAUGUAGUGAUUACUUGCAUGUUGAGGUAAAUAGAUAUUGAUUUUAGUGAUGUAGUUACAGUAGUAAUGUAGUUACAGGUUAUAACAACCCGUUUCUCAAAAUCUGGAUAUUAAUUGGUUAAACACCUUAUGUUUGUGCACAUUCACACCAGAGAAAAUUGCUUGUGGCUCAGUGGCUACUGACACGUCUGCUAAAACGGUCUGACCUAUGAACAACGUGCAUUUGUGAACGUGCACGUCAGAAAUAUCAUUGGAAUGCAGGAUAACAUUUCAUAUUCAUGACACACAACUUGUUUGCGGAAGAAGACAUUGAUGCUUUAUAUCAAGGAAUGUAUUCAAUUCAUUGCUUCAAAGGGGAAAUAUGGAACCCCCAUCACUUAGGCCAGUCUCAAUGCAUAUUUCAUGAGAGUGUCAUGCACAUUAAAUAGGGUGUCACAUAAGCAAAAUUGCUGACUUGGCAGGGUCAUUAAAUAAGGAGUUUCAUCAGAUGAGAGAGGAGUUUCAUCCCCAUGAAACUCGUGGCUCGGUUAUGCCAUGAAACUAUGCAUUGAGACUGGUCUUACACCCCUGUAUUAGAAAAAGAUGCAUCUUGUGUCAAACUCUGUGACAACUUGUGGAUUAGUUAGAUUUUUUUUGUACAUUCUAGAUGGAUGGAUGAUUGCCUGGCAUGGCAUAUGAGAUAUUGGAAAGCCUUUUAGGCCAACAUUUUAUUUUGUUGUCAAUCUUGCUUAUCCCAACACUUGUUAUGUUUCCUUUCAGAAACUUUCCGAGUUGGUCAACGAUGCUUACAAGGAUGCACAUCAACGGAGCGUCCAGGUGUGAAUCUUGAAUCUCAACGAUGCUUUAUUGCAUACGAUAAGGAGGGGUUUCAAGCUGAUUGCUGUGUAGAGAAUGCAAAAUCUAUAUUUACACUAAAAUGAUCUCCGACUAAUGCCUGCAGGCCAUGAAAGAGAGGAUGGCUGACUUGGCACAGAGCUUAGGAAUGCCUGCAGGCCUCGGCGAUGGUCUCAAGUGAUGCCGCAAUUCGGGAAACCUUUCCAAUAAUUUUUUUCCUCAAUUUUGUAUACUAGCCGUGUGAGUCGUAAGUUUAACCCCUCUGCGACCUCUCAUAGCUGCGUAAGAAGUGUACUCGUGAGCACCUGUUGCUUUCAGCUUUAGCUGUAAUUUGCUGUUUUGCACAAGCAGAUAUUUGCUCCCUGGUAAAUGAAUCAUGGUAAUUAGGCUUGCACCUGGACGUCCCACGCAACAUGGGUACAUCACUUGUGGUCUGCUAGGCUAUGUUGAGCAUGUCUCCAACAAGUUGUUGGGCUGGAGCAGUUGCAGCCUGUGAAGAUGAGACAGCCAAAGCCCAUUCUACAUACAUACCACCGAAAGCCUUCAGAAUUGGUCGUGUGACCAAAGGAGGAAUCAUGACAUUGGUGAGCGUGAUUUGAAGAGUAAAAUGCUAAAGUUUCGUUUGUCACAUGACAUCAUUACUAGACCCUAGCCGUUGAAUGUGGCAUGAAGCAGAUCAUGGCUGGCAUGUUUGCUUAUGAACUCACUGCAAAGACUUCCUAUGGCCUUUGUAUAAUUUUCGCUGCAGGUGAUACCUUCCUUUUUCUAGUUAUAAGCAUGCCUGGGCACAGCAAAGGUACUUUGAAUUUAACCUUAUUAGCCGAGUCGGUCAUGCAUCAUCGUGUUUAUCAUGGAAGUUCACACCUACCAGCCUCUAAAUUCUUUAUUAAAUUUCGAAGCCACAACGUUCUUCUCUGAGUCUUCUCGAGUUUUUAAUUAUUUAUUUAUUCUGGGGAAAACCACAAGAUCUAUUCGGAAUUUAAUCACAAAAUAUCUCUAGAUAACAAUAGGACUAGCUGGAGACUUUUCCUAGUCUGUUUUUCUAAUUAAAAUAUAUGCAGGUCUUGAUCGUACUCCAGAUUUAAAACCUGAACCACCAUGUGCACAUCUGCUCUACAAGACUUAAUUUUGCACAUUGUUUGUUCAUGAUAUAGUGUUUUUGCAGCGGUUAUGCAGCUGCAGUUGUAGCGGACAAGCCAAAUCUAAAUAUAGGAUUUGUUUGGAUAACUUUGAAUCCUAGUUCAUUCUAUGUGGAUGGAGAGAACAUGUGCGAGAGAGAGAAUCAUUUUUCUGUGAAGACCCUCUCAUGAAGCAAACGCCGGGUGGGGAUAGCUAAGGUUGUGUUUGGUUAAGUUUUUUAAAAAGUGCUUCUGCUACUAAAAAGCAAAAAGCCAAUCAAACAGGUCAACCUAAAGCUAUUUUUUAGAAGCAUAUGCUUUUGGGUUGUACAAAGCAUAUGCUUUUAUGUGGUAUAAUUUUAGGAUCACUUUGGAUCUUACUUUUGGCUUUUGUCUUUUUGCUUUUCAAAUGGGUGGAAUAGAGAAUUGUUUCACAACUUUUUGCAGGGAGAUAAAGUGAGGGGUAGUUUUAUACUUGUUUCACCCAAACAACUUAUAACUUUUCCAUCAUAGUUAUUAAGGCGCCGUCUAGGCGACGACUAGACGUCCGAGCGAUUUUUGAAUCAUGGCGUCGUCCUCGCCGCGGCCUCCUCGCAUAUGGCGUCGCCUUGGGCCAAAAGUCGUCGCCAAGGCGUCGGAUUUGUUGAGGCGGACACCGCUGGACGGAAAAGGUGAGAGGGAAAGAGCAGCGCGAUCCGUGCGCGGGGAAAGGAGGGAGGAGCGCGCGCGCGGGAAGGGAAAAGGAUUGAGCUGUGCGUGGGGGGACGAGCAGCGCUGCUCGCGCGGGAAAAGAAGCUGUGGCUCGCAUACAUCUCCCGCCAGAGGCUCCCCAAUCCCCAUCGUGUCUUCCCAAUCCCAUCGCAUCUGUUGAGAGAGAGAGAGAGGGAAAGGAACGAGAGAGGAAGAGGGAAGAGGGCGGCGGAGCACCUGAAAUCCGGCGCUGGCGCUGACGCAGACGGCUGCCCCGCGCAACUCCGCCCCAUCCGCACGACUCAGCUUGUCCGCACGACUGUCUUGUCCACGACUCCUGCCCCUUCGCGACUGCUCUGUCCACCGUCCGGAGAGCGAGAGGGAAACAGAGGAGAGAGGGGAAGAGAAGGGGCCAUCCCCAAUCCCCACCUGGUCUGCCUCCUUUUCUCCCUCCUUCCUCUGCUCUGCUGCGUGGACUCUGUUCUGCAUCUUCUUCCUCUGCUCUGCUCCUUCUACUAUGCUCUGCUGGUUGCUUCCUAUCUAUGGUUGCUAUGGAUUAGCAGCAUUAGUAAUUAAGUUAUGUUAUGUCAUGUCACUAGAGUCUAAUUUGCUCUUAUUGAGAGAUGAGAGAUUUCAGUCAGAUUUACUAGUUUGCUACUUUAUGUUGUGCCCUAUUACUGUUGCAGAACUAUUUAGUAUGAUAUUAUAUAUGGUAUGAUUUGCUUCUGAUUUCUAGUGGUACUAUAUCUUAAGAUGUUAGUAUGGCGUCGCCUCGCCUUGCGCCUUAAACGCCUAGGCGUCUGGAAGGGGGUCGAGCGCCGCACCUCGCCUUACCGCCUUAAAACUAUGUUUUCCACAACACUUAUCUUAUCGUAGCAAUUUUUCACAACUCAUAGUCCACAAUAGUUUUUUCUACUACUAACAGUCGAACCAAACAGACCCUUAUUGUGUUAAAACCAAAUAAUUUGACACCUCUAGCAAGACCUGGUAUCAAUUUUAUGUAUUUAUAAUGUUUGAAUAAAUUUAUAGAAAGGAGUGUCAAUAUUUAUGACACCAAAUAGAUAUACUAUGAAAAUAUAUUUCACAAGGAAUCUAAUGAAACGAACAUUGAUACUUUUAUAUAUAAAAGAGAGUUGGUUAAACUCAAGAUGGUUUGACUUGGUACUAUGCUAGAAUAUUUUUUUUAUUCAAACUUAGGUCUUCUGCACAAGCGCUCAAAAUUCUCUCAACAAUCAGCAGCUGAGAGACUCAAUCCUUGUUCCAAUUAGCAUUCUGUGGAAUAAAGGAAAAACAUGACAAAGAAUUAGACAAUAUAAGAGGACAAGGUGGCAGACUCGAAGAGAUAGUUGCGUGCACCACAAGCUUGCUUAUGAAUUUAGAGCCACCCUUAAAAAUCGAAUUUGUAGUUUUUAGAGACGGUUGAAUAACGUCUCUACAAAUGAUACAAAAAAUUAGAGAUGGCUAGCCAACACCCCUAAAAAUUGGGUUUUUAGUUUUUAGAGGUGGUUGAAUAACGCCUCUACAAAUGAGGCGGGAAAUUAGAGAUGGCUCGUCAGUCGCCUCUGAAGGUCCUAGAUGUAGUAGUGAAAUAUCUUUAAAUAACAAUAGGACUAGCUCCUGAUGAAAGUAUAUGCAGAUCCUGAUCAUACUCUUUAAAACAUAAACCACUACAAGACUUAAUUUUGCAUGUUGUACCUAUAUAAGCUCGAGUCUAUUGUAGUGGCCUUUACUAAGGGCCCGGGGAGGAAGAUAACGUGUGACGGCUUACGCAUUUGAAAAACGUGCAACCCAUUUUCCUCCUCCACGUGACACCCCUCUAGUCGUCUUCCUCCUCACUGACGUCGUCGUCCUCGUCCCACCCUCGCUCCAGCUUUCAUAGCCCUAUGGCUAGCGGCUCCCGCUGCCUAGCCACGCCACCCACCUCUCGUCCCUGCCCUCCCCUAGCCUCUGCCGUGAUGCCUCCGCGGUGGUAGUGCGGUGUGGCCUGUGCGUGGGCGGGCUUAGUGGCACCCAAGAUAGUGAGGGAACUUGGUUCCUAGUGCAACACAAUAGAAGUUGUGGACAGAAGAGAGCAGUAGCGUGGUUCAUGGUGAGGAUGCAUGUGGUCAGGUAUGAUAGGAUGUGAUGACGACAAGAUAGACAAGGAACACAUAAGUGGCAUUGUAAGUUGAGGCGACAACGAUGCUUCUGUUGGAGAGUGCGACGAGUAGGUGGGGUAUGAUGCAAUAGGGGAGAAAGGGAAAGAGGAUAGAGAAGAGAAACAUAAAUAUGACAUGUAGUCCUUACUACCACGUGUUGUCCACACAAGUGAAAGCGACCUUCAAAUAGCUGGAUGACCAUACAUGCACGAAUUUGAUAGCUAAAUAUUUUUGGUUUUGGAGUUAUAUCAUGGACAAAAUCAAACUCGACAUAGUUCGGUGGUAAAAAAAUGGACCUCUCCCUUCUUAAAAGAAUUCAUGAUAAACCCUAAGAGUUAAACAAAACAAUGCCUCCAAUUAAUAAUAAUAAUACCCAUGAGACUUUUGUUCACUCUCCUUUCCACAUACUCAAGUACAUUUUAUUUUUUAGGUUAAAAUGCUGGUCUUGAUCUAUGCUUGAACAGGACACAAGCACACUUCAGCAAAUUUGAAUGCUUUCCAAUUCAGUGUCAAGAUUUUAGAUAUUAGAGCCCACCAAGUGUACUGUGUACAACAGCUCGUCGGCUAGAUUAAGCAAAUAACUAUAACUCAAUGCAAGAUGUCAAUAGAAAACAAAGUUAAGCAUCCACCUUUUCAUCAAAUUCAUGGUAAUUUUGUUGACUAUGUAGCGAUUAUAUACACAUCCGAACCUCAGUGCUGGUGGUUAGUAGUAAGUACUCCAUCUGUCCUAAAACUCUAAAAUACAAUUGAUUUUUUGUUGUUAUAAGUCAAAUCAUCAUAAUUUUGAUCAAAUUUAUGGAGAAAAGUAUUAACACAUAUCAAAUGAUAGAGUUAAAAUACAAAAAAAAAUCAUUUAAUAAUUAAUAUAAGAAAGUUCAUUUGAGAUCGUAAAUAUUAUUACUCUUUUCUACAAACUUGGUAAAACUUAGAAUGUUUUGACUUAGAACAUCUGAAAUCCCUUAUAUUUCAAGAUCGAUGGAGUAGAACCAAAACUUUACUCUUAUGUAGGAAUCCUUUAAUAUAAGCUACCGACACCGGUAACAAAAAAGUGAUGAAAUCUCAGAAUCCAACUUUUCAUCAAAUCUACUUUGUUAUAAAAUGAAUUUGUUAGCUUCUAACAUCUCAUUUGCUAAACCCCUAUCACUUCAGAACAAGACCCAAAAUUAUUCUAAAUCAUGCUCCCUUUCAUAGCCUUUAAGACCCUCAAGAUACCCAAGCAGGGAGAUACCCCUGUUAUCCAAUAGUAUGGAUGAUUCCCUUUUGGCUCCUUUUGAUAUAACCGUACAUUUAUAUAUAUUCUUGUAUGCUCAAUUAGGGGUUUAUGCUAGUGAUGUGAAAGGAGAAUGUUGGGGCAUGCACAAAGUCGUAUGUCUUGAACUGGACACGUUUCAAGUAUUAAGAGGACAAGGACAAAUCGGUGACAUAAACAAGGAUGGACACGUGUCACAGCUUUAGACAUCUUUUGUUUUUUUCUGUGUUUUUUGAAGAGCGAAGGAGUAAACCUUUACUUGAGGGUUAAGCCUAACAAGUUAUAUAUGCAUUAAAAUAAAUCUUAUCAGUUAAAGCUGGACAGAUUGAGACUUAUAUAUGAAUCUAAAUAUCUUGUCAGAUCGCAUGCUUUCCCAUAUACCUGCAUUUGAUUAAUGAGCUAAUUAUGCUUUAUGCAAGUCUAUGAGCUAUGCUAGGCAUAUAGUUGGGUAGAAAAAGAAUUCAAAAGAUGUCUCAAUUCUGUCAAAGGCUAUAUAUUCUCAUAUAUUCAUGUAAACAAUUUUUUCUCCGUGUAAUCCAGGCUUGAUGUGUAGUCAUCCAGUAGCAGUCCAACAAUGUGUGGAAGAGUAUUUGGAAGCUACAUGUCCUCCCAUAAGGUUAAAGAUCUUCAUCUAGAAGGUGAUUAAUAUAAUGAAGGAUUUCCCACUAGAGUAAAUAAAUGGAAAAGAAAUUUGGAGUCUAAUGGCAUUUGUCACUUGUCUAUAUAUAUGAGAACAUAUAUAAAAGAUGAUACACAACUUCCUUUUUAACAACACAUUGCUCUCAUUUAGGGAUUGUAUCUAUGUAUGAGUCCAUAGAGCUAACUUCUUUCAAUUGCUACCAUCCUUAUAGUUAAUCUAAUCAUGCAACAUAAAACAGGAUAUCAAAAAAGGCAAAUGGUGUAUUAAUCCUUCACAUUAGGCUCCGUGACAAUGACAAGGCAUGACUUUAAUAAGUACUAGUACUCAAGUACACCUAUUGCGGGAUGUAAUGCCGAAAUUUCGUGCCUUGUUCAGCUCGACAGUGCCAUUUGAAGUUGAUGUCUCGUUUAUCCUGAUUGGCCCCAAGCUUUCCCUGAGCAGCCAUGUCAACUACACAUAUACGCCUAUAUGCAUCUUUAGUUUAAAGAAAGGAGUUUGUUAUGAGCUUCGUUUGAUUAAGCUAUUGCUUCAAGUAGAUUCCAGGAGUGUUUGAUCGGUUGCUCCAUUGAUUAAUGGCCAUGAUUUGGAUCUGAUGAGUCAGCUAAUCCAUCACUAAUGCCCGCUGCAUAUAAUAAGCAUUCUGUUAACAUUUGCAUGUCACUUCAGGUGUUUGUGUGUGUGUGCACUUUUAUUAAUAAUAUAAGAAGAGGACUGGAUGGAGUUUGAUCAUGCAUGACCAAAUGGAUAUUUUGAUGACCUGUAGCUGAUGGUAGAGUAUGGUGUGUUGGAGGUCAUUAUUAGAGGAUAUACUGAUCCACUCCCAACACAUUCACAAAAAGUUCUUGUAUUGACAUCGACAUGGAAAUACAUGUAUUGGAGAAAAACAAUGGAUCUAAGAAAAAUGGUGAGUCUAAGAGUUGUGUCAGUACCAUUGCAAUGUUUGCGUGUGACAAGUCGUUGUUCAGAGAAAACCAGCUAUCCUUGCCGCAGUUGUUUUAGUUUAGUUAGGACACUAUUAGCGGAAUAAUAGUGGACCAUGGAUUAGCUACCAAAUUGACAGGGAUUCUGACAUGAAGCAGCCUUAUAAAAUUGGAGUCCCUACGCACAGAUUCUGAUGGGUUUAGUCCUAGUAGUUGUUUAGUGAAAUUUUCUUCUACAAAAAACAAAGUUCUCAACUAAUCGGCUAGAGAAUAUUGAACUUUUUUGUUAGAACAGUACUGAACUGUUGAUGCAGUGCAUGCUCUUUUCUCUCUGUGCAUAUUGAGACCCACAACAUCCAACUGCCUGUAUCACACUAAUAAGCUAGUCAAACUUGGGGACAUCCACUUGGCAGUGUUAUGCAGAUAUCAAUCUCAACAAAGCUUGAACUCAAGUAUUGAUCAAUUAUUGCGAUGAACCUUUUUGAUUCACGCACCAAACAACAUUUUUGGCUUAUCAGUAUCAUUUUGCAACAGGAAGAUCAUACUGAGUGAACCCAAUAUACCAAGUUCAGCUGACUAGCUAUCUAGGUGAAUCACCACAAAGACGAUACACAACUACAUCCUCAUUACAUGUUUAAUUUGUACAAUAACGACAGCUUGCUGUUAUAGGACAUUUUGUGAUAGAUCUUGAAUGAUAUUAAUCUAAAAAGGAAAUGGUUUAAUUAUACUAGUAUAAUGCACCUCCAUCCUCAUCACCUGGAUUUGAGUUCCGAGUCCUAAAACCACCUCAGGUGUCCAUGGUUAAAUUUAGACAAGAAAAUUAGAGGUAUGCAAAGGGUGAUUGUUUUAUGCUGUUGCUGUGCAGUAAUAUCCACUUAACAUGUUUGCAGUUUCACGGCAAAAUCAUGUGAACAUGAGAUCUGUCAGUACACUGCACUUUUAAUGUGGGAAUGCAUGGCAAUGAGGAAAACUUCCCAGUUCCGACCAUGAUCAUAGAACAACCAAGCAGACAAACGACCUGCCACCAGUCACCACUCACCACUGAUGCAGCUGCUGGCAUUGUGCAUCUUGUGAAUGGCACAAUCACAAUAAUGACGAUACAUCAUGAAUUAUAGCUUAAACCAUGCAUCUCAGAAUUUCGAUUUUAACAUUUUCCCAAGACCUAAUUGCAAGGGUGUGAUGAUCUUGACAUUGCAUAUUGCCUUAUCCCAUUGGUGCUGUUUUUUGGAAGCCUUGCCUUAGGACAGGAUAGUGCAUGUCAGCAUCACUAGUUAACAUUGGUGUCCCACUGGUCAUUUUGUUUUAAGUUUUCCAUAUGUAUAUACCUGAUGAAGUCAUCUUCUAACUUCCAAACUUGUUGCUAUCUGUUGACAACAAGGCUAGCAUCUGAAGGAAAACACAAGCUUGCAUAGCUAGUGGGUGUGCAAGGGCACAAAUAUAUUUAGAGAAGUAAACUGUGGGAGUUUUAAUUUGACAAGUUUGAGAGCAGCACUAGAACCAAGAGUUAGCGAACUACUCCUUGCGUCCUAGAAAAUGUUGAUGUUUUGGGAUUAAAAAAUUAUCCUAGGAAGCUUGAUUUGUUUAGUUUUUGGACACUAGGUUGAGACCACAUUUCAGCUUGAGACCGCGGCUAGCUAUGCCUCUAUGCAUUUCUUUUAAUUAGUGUGGAUCACUUCAAUAACUACAUAGGUAAUUUCCAUUGAACACUCUUAUAUGCACAACCACCACACUUAAUAGAUUAACCGCGGCGGCCGCCCUAAAGCAACCGCCAUAGUUAAUAGUCAUUAAUGAUGGCGGUUGCUUUAGGGUGACCGCUGCGGUUAAGUUUUAACCAUGACGUUUGUUUGUGUUAGGAUGGGGGACAGGGUUCGAAGUUUUCUCGAUCUGUGAGAAAAUAUCAUCUAAGAAUACCCGAGGACUGUCAUACCCUCAUAGGUUGAGUUUUUUUUUAAGUAGCUCUAUUUUGAGACGGCUGUAGUACCAAAAAUUAUAAAACUUUGUUCCCUCUGUAACUUACAAAACAAAAAAGUUACAGGACUAAAUGUAAAAUAAAAACACUAAAAGGAAAUUUAACCAGGAGUCGUACUUAUCAACAACAUACAAGGGUGCAAGUUAAGAGCAAUUGAGUGUUCACAAAUACGUGUAGCUAGUUUUAAUAUAGGAGCUAGCUAAACUCCUAAGGCUACACUUACAUGUAGAACACUUUUGUGUGCCGUGUAAAAUACCAUAUCCAAACGAUCCUUUUGCUGUUUUGCAGCCUCUUUUCUGAGGCCUAUUUGUUCUCUUCUUCCACGUAUAGGAGUUUGGCAGAAAGACGCGGGGCAACGUGAGGCCUUACAUCAAAGCUCACGUCCUUUUUCAGAUAACAAAAGAAUUAAUUGAAGAGAGACCUAACUGAAGCAAAUAUAUACACUACCAGCAACUAAUUAACUAGGAGGAAUCCAGAUGAGUAGGUACAGAUAGCCAUCUCGAGUAGUUCAUUAUUCAAUAUACAUAUGCAAUAAUCUAAGCUUAAAAUAACUAUUAAUAGGUGAACUAUAGGAUGUAUCUGCACAAAAGUGUUCCUUGGAAUCCAUAAAAAGUAAGCUAAAAGAGAUUAGAUCAGGAUCCUCAUGGCUGGACUUCACAUUACACAUGCUACAACUAGCAAGAAAUAUGCAGAAAUCUCUAGAUUAAGGGAUGUUUGGGAUUGCUCUGCUCCAUAUUUUUCAGCUCUGCUUCACGUUUUUCAGCUCCACACAUUCUGUUCAAGAAAAAAAGAUGAAGUUAUAAGAGCACCUAAAGAGAUGCUCCACAAUCUCUAGUUUUUUAUGAAGCUGCUCCUCGGUGGAGUUGUGAGACAAACUCUAGCUUUUCCGAAGCUGUUCUACUGUAGAGUUUGUAGAGCGGUCUUAAAUACCCUCUAAAUGCUCGAUUUACUAAGCUAUGUCAUGCAGAUCUCUGUCAUCCUAUAUUAGCUUAUUACUUAAUUCAACUGCCACACUGCAACUAUUAUGAGCACACACAACUAGCCAUAGGCUAACUAUAGCUAUCUAGUUCACCAUUUUCUUUGGAUCUUUGCACGGGUACAGGCUGACUUGCUUUUAGGUCAAACUAGUAGCUUAUAGGUGAUCAAAAGAGACACUUGGCAAGACGUAAGAUGAACGUGUGGUAGACACAUAUAUGCUUGUACAAUAAUUUCUGUAAUAAUAAAAAAAAUAAGUCCAAUCAGAUUUGUCCUAAGUCAAAUUCUAGCUUUGAUAAUAGGUCCCUAAAAUUUAAGAUAGAUUGACAAUGCUACUAUAUAGAUUAUUCAUCAUGGUAAAUCCACUUACGCAUAUACAAAACUCUUUCCAUCUAAAUAUAUGCUACUGUAUUUUAAAGGUAAUUUAGUCAAAAUGUUGUAUUGAAUACACAACUGUGUUGAGAUAUGCUAACUUAGCUUAUAUUUGUGAUAAACGAAAGAAUUUGCUUUAUUACUGUACUUUUCAACUGUAGCAAUAAGUGGAUAUGCAUUACUAGAAAUCAUUGAUUUGUAGAAGUGGUUAUGCAACCAUCCUGGAAAUUGGUUUCUAGAAAUUUCAAAAACAGGUGUGGAAAAUAGGAAAAAGUUUUAAUCGAUCUAUCAUAGGAGAAUAACACUAGCUAAGUAAUAUUUAUAUAGCACAUCAAGGAAGCCCAUACACCGCCACACCAUACCACACUAUCACUUGUGACCAAAGUCCAAGUAUAGAAUAUAAUACUUUUUAUUAUUUUUUAUGAAUCUUGUAUUGAAUAUUUCUAUGCCUAAAAGAUCUAAAAAAAAUCAACUAUACAAUUUUAGAUCUCAAAUAUUCAUCCGUGGUUGUUUGAAUUUUAAUUUUUUAAAUUUGAGAAAUUAAAAUAUACAUUUUGAUCCUAAACAAUCUCAAAUAAAAAAUAUCAACUAUAAAGUUUUCAUGUCGUAGAACUCUACUGCUUUAAUACAAUAAUGUUCAUGUUCACCAUACUUAAUUUAAAGAAUAUUAAUUUCUUUUUAUCCAACAUCUAUUUCUAGGAUCAACCAAAUUUUCUAAUCACCCAUAGAAAUGCCCCUAUUUCAAGGGACGGUCGAUAGCACCAUUAAUCCGUACACAUAAAGUCACAACCUCUACAUAUUGUGGUUGAAAUGUGGGGUCAUAUGACAUGUGGGGCCAGCUGACGUUAGCUUUUUGAAGAAGCCACAACCAUUCAACCAAUAACUUUUUUCUCACAGCUAAGAACCUAGAACAACUUUUCUACGACCCACAACUCACAAUAACUUUUUCCAAAAGAUAUAGCUCAACCAAACAGACUGCUCUUAACUGAAAAAGUUGUUAAUAGUAGAGUUAUACUCGUCGAGCACUAAAUUUUAGUGUUGACUUUUGUUUAGAUUUGACAUUGUUAAACAUGUCAAAUCAUAUACAAGAUCUUAUAUUAAAUAUUUAGAUAUGUAAAUCAUUUUAAAUUUAAAAGUUAUUAACUGUAAAGUUUUAGAUAUCUUUAAACUUAUUUUGGUAUAAAGUUUAUCUUGAUCCAACUUUAUAUGAAAAAGUUAUAAUUUUUUAUGCAAAGUUGCUUAUUAGUGUGGUUGAAGCCACAAAUCUCUCGUGAAAGUCCAUUUAUUACUACUUGUACUAUCACUAUCAAUUGAAGCCACGUACCAAUAGCAACUCCCUCUAAACCAACUUAGAGCAACUCCAGUAGGGCCCCUACUUGAGCCCCUAUAGCUAAAUAUGGGUGCCUAGGCAAAAAACAGCACUCCAGUAGGGCCCCUACUAGAGCCCCCAAUUUGGGGUGGGCACCCAAAUCUUCCCUGCAGCCUCUAUUUCUGUUGGCCCAACAGCCCAGCCCCCAUCCUGCGUGGUGUGGCAAUUACCUCAUCACACCGAACAAGCGCAGCUUUGCCCAUCUCCCUCCAGCGCUAAUUUUCACUACCGCGCUCCCUCCCUCCACCUCCGACCUCCACCGUUGGGCCUCGCCGCCAUCCCUUCCGAUGAGAGUGGCCUCUCCUCGAUGAGCGGGAGCAGCCCCAGCCAUAGUUAUCGCGAGCGUCGAGCCUCCCCGUGGCCAUGCGGUAACGAAAUGUUUGACCCAAUGACGAGUGGGUCCCAUAUGUCAUUGUCUGCCAGUUUGGAUUUGGGGGCCUUCAUUUAGGUGGUACUGUUGGAGUGAAAGCAAAAAUUUUGGGCACCCAAAAGUAGGGGAAGCACCCAAAUGAAAAGUAAGGGCUCUACUGCUGGAGUUGCUCUUACAAGGGAGCAAUUUGGGUAGUCUAGUCUAACGGAUGGAUUUGCUCUAUAAAGAUAAGUCAAUACCACUCUGGUAAAUAGUUGAACAGUGCAAUCCAAUUGAAAGCACACAAUGCAAUCAACACAGUCCAGUAUAUUUUUUUUUCAUCUUAUUAUCUUUUAGUUUAUCAUUCUUUUUCAAAUAUAGCAUUGUACCUGCUAUGCUUGGGCCCCUUCUUGGGGCCACACUUGCAUGGAUACUCUUUACUACAAGAAAACUAGUUGCUCCUUCACUAAAAGCGCGAUAGUUAUCUUAUAAUUAUUUGUUAGGAAACUAAUAUCGUUUAUCGCCAUACAAGCAUGAUGGAUUGAUGGUUAUCAUUUGCUAGUCAUCUGAAGCUAGUCGUUUAUUAUCAUGAAAGUGAGUGACAGAGGCAUGAAUUCUAAGAGCUAUACUCUUAUUAUAUAGGAAUAUUUUUACCUAAAAAAUGUUUCUCUUUUUAUGAGUCCGGGGUCGCCAGGCGGGGUUAUCUCCCUUUGUCCGCCUACACAUAUGCGUGCUGCUGCAGAUUACACAUAAUUUUCUUGUGUGUUCGAUAUGCGUGGCACAUUUCGCGCCAAUAGUUGUUAGGACUGGUCUUUCAGAAGAUAAUAAUGUUACUUGCAGAUCUAUGCACCCAAAUCGUUCGGAAUCAUUACACGAGCUGUAUAUAUAGUUUUCAUGUAUACGCGUGGAUCAUGAUAGCCAAUAUUGUGGCGGCUGUGGGUUUGGUAUUAAUUGUAUGCAAUGCCACUCAUCAUUGCUGCGUUCAUGCAUGUUCUGUUGCCCACUUAAUUAAAAAAGGCUCAUAAAAAAUUCAAUUAGGAUCACUCACACAACUAAUGAUCUUCUUAUUAAUGUCAUGUGUUGCCCAAAACUACAACUCGGUUUAUAUCGUUUCUCCAUCUAGAAUACUUGGAAAACAAAAAAUAAUUUUAAAUUAUUUGUACUACCAACAAAUUAAGAAAAUCGUGUAAAGAUAUAAGCCAACCGCUAGUAUAAACCCAAGAUUAACACUAAUGCUUCCUUAAGUCAAUCGAGCAACAUAUUACACAGGUAGUUGUCUUAAGCCUAUAUCAGUGUAAGUAGAGCAUUUGUACUAGUGGUAAUAUUAGGAAAUCCGCUUGUAAAAAAUAUAUAUCUUCACUAGUGGGUCAUAGCCAUGAGCCCAUAGUUCUAUUUGUACUAGCGCAUGUUCUUUAGAACCGUCAGUGAAAAAAACUACCAUCAGCAAAAAAAAAAACUAUUUUUGUAUCAGUGUAUAUUAUCUUUUUCAGCCAUGCAUAACAACACAGACCGUGCAUUGUUCUUUUUGGGACAGAAGAGUAUAUGAUCAUGAAGCUUCACACGCUUUAAGUUUCCAACUCAACGACUCAGAUAUGUUCAAGAUCAUGACAAAAGGCAACAAGCUAGAUCGAACUUUGGAAUGGAACAAUUUUGAGAUUUGCACAAAAAUUUGAUAGCGACGCACGCUUUGAGAAUCUCAAUCGAACAGCACACCCGAUCAGGCCCAAAAGUAGUCCGAAUACGUUGAUGAUUGACGAACAAAAUUAUAAACACACAUGGUCCCUACAAGGACGUUGUUAAUUGGAUUUCUUGGAUCAUCGAGAACACCAUUUAUUGUUAAUUUUAUGGAGAGAUGUGGAGAUGUACACAGGCCAACAUACACACGAGAUGAACGUAGUACCUUCCAGGAGGUACCUCACAUGCAACCAAAGCUAGCUAAUGGUCCAGGCUUAAUUCUUAAAAAUAUGUUUAACCAAUUUGCUUAGCUAGAUACGCAUCUCGGCAGUUGCUCAAUCUAUAUGUGUACCAAAUGUAUAUCUCCUCAUGAUAGUCUGUCGAAAUGUGCGCUACUUUUUGGUGACAGAUCUUGAGUAGGUACUUAGUUUUGUUGAUUCCUGUACUCUUAACAUAUGAAACAGAAUCAGUAUUAGUUGCUACGAAUCGUACCAUAGCGAAGUUGAGGAAAAUGUGUCAACCUGGCAUGCUGUUCGAAAUGAUACUUGAACUUUGUAGGUAGGAUUAUUGCAAAGUAAAAGGUGUACAAGAAAAUUCUCUUGUUCCAAUGUAAGUGGGGUCUCAAUAUAUGAGGCCUCGUUUAGUUCACUUUAAAACCCAAAAACUUUUUAAGGUUUUUGUCAUAUCGAAUCUUGCGAUACAUGUAUGAAAUAUUAAAUAUAGAUAAAAAAUAAUAAUUAAUUACAUAAUUUGUCUGUAAUUUGCGAGACGAAUCUUUUCGACAUAAUUAGUCCAUGGUUGGACAAUAAUUGCCAAAUAAAAACGAAAGUGUUAUAGUACCCAAAAACGUUUCUCACCUCCUCAACUAAAUAAGGCCUGAGUUCAUUAGUGACUGACCGAUUAUCCUUACAUUUAGAUUAAGAUAACUGAUUUGGUCUUUGAUGUACAUGCCGUUUUAUGUUUUCUUGCCCUAGCCUUUGUUUUUCUUAAGAUAUAACAGAGGUAAAACACUCCACUCGUUUGAAUGUUAUUAUCAAAAAAAUCUCUCUUAUCAUAGACUUAAUUAUUGUAAAGUCAAAAUAGACGCCACCUGAGGUUGGUACAGACGUAAGCACAUUAGUUUAGUAUACAUUACUUAGUUUAUUAUAUUCAAUAAUCCAAUAAGUUUGAAUGUUCUUAGUUGUCUAAGAUUAAGAAACAUAUAUACUAUCCAGUAACAUUUUAUAAAUAUUCUCUUGAGUUGUAUCUAGCAAGAAUAUUCUGUCACAUCCCAAUCACCAUGGCAAAUUUAUUAACACAAUAAUGCAAGCAACUAUAUAUGUGUACCGAGUUAGACCACUCGUUUGAUACUUGUUAAGCGACAAGUUUUUGAGAAACAGGAGAGGCUCAGGGAGCCUCUACUGGAAUAUAUUAAAAGAUAAACAAACAGAAGAGUUUACAAAGUUAAGCGACAAGUUGAAAACAAGAAUUGUAUCAUACUGUAUGCCAUUGCCCGUUGCAGCUGGAACCAGCAGGGAUAUGCGUACUGCCGGUUCACUCUAAAAUUAAUCAAUUUGGCAAGUUUUCUCUAGUUCGCCUAAUACUCCGUUCAUCCCUCCAUUCCAAAUUGUAAGUUCAUUUCGGUUUUAUAGAUUCAUAGUGUUUGAUAGUGUAUAUCUGGGUGUUUGGAUUCCAGUGUCACAUCAGACAUUUGGAUGCUAAUAACUAAGGGACUAAAUAUGAACUAAUUAUAAAACUAAUUGCAGAGGAGUAGACAAAUUAGGGAGAUGAAUCUAUUAAGCCUAGUUAAUCCAUAAUAAUUAGUAUAUAUUUAUUGUAGCACCAAAUUAUCAAAUCAUGGACUAAUUAGGCUUAAUGAUUUGUCUUACAAAUUAUCUCAAGAUAUAGAAUUAGUUUUAUAAUUAAUCUAUAUUUAAUACUCUACUUCUAAAUUAGUGUCAAACAUUUGAUGUGACAGGGACAUGUUUGGUCUGUGGAACCAGACGGGCCUCUAGAUACGUAAUCAAAAAGCUAUAUAUGUAUCUAAAAAAAAACUAAAAUAACUUAUAAUUUAGAACGGAGGGAUUAAAAAUCUAGUUAUAAUUUAUUAGUUUACACAAGAACCAAAUAGAUUAAAAGUGCAUGAUCAUAGGGCAAAUUCAUUACUCAUGUAUCGAUUUACGUCAACCGAUAAGUUUAUAUAUCUACUGGUCUUCAUUAUUCUUAUAUAUUCAGUAGGAUUAGGAGGCACAUCAUCCAUCAGGAAAUGUAGUAUUAUCUACCAUUGUUUCACUAGCUACCACACUAGUUGGAACCAACUAGGAAAGCUCGUAUGGUCAAAAUGAUGUUCAACACUUACAGUUAUUUGCAUGCUGAUUAAUCAUUGAAAGUGGUUUAGGGUGGUACCAGUAUCAAACUUAGCAUUACAUUACAGUAAGCCAAACUUGGUCCACUUCACCCCAGUCUAAAAUAUUCUCACAAAGACAGGAUCAAACUAUUUUAAUUUGAUAUCCAAAAGCUGCGCCUUGACUACUAUAGUUUAGUGCUAAUCAUGCAUGGUUAGUGUUCAGUAAACAACCACUGUCACAUACAGAACUGAUCACUCCAAUUGGCCAGGAACCGUUACACUGAAUCGUUCAAAACAUUCAAAACUUUCUCAGGCGGAAUGUUUUAUAUGUAAAAAUCGUCAGGACUAAUUCUGUUAAUCAAUAGCUUAUAUGGUUAUUAGUUUUCAAAGUUAAGAUACAUAUACAUCCCUGAAUUAAUUCAUACCUAGGCCUCUUAGACCGUCAAUAAACUUUCACCAUCAAUUGAACUUACCCUGUACCAUCACACAUAUGUAUAUAGAUAGUAAUAUAUAGUGCAGAGGCAAGAAAACACUCAGCAAGUCGUGUGUAAGUCCAUCGUAAAUAAUUAUUAAUCCUAAAUAGUACAAUUGCUCAAGAGUGUAAGCUAUGGUUGAACAUGACAUAAGCAAUUUAAAAUGGGGUCACAGAAUCAUCAUGCAAUAUGUUAACCACAUGCACGACGACAGCAAGUUUACAAGUGAAGUUUGUUAGAUUGAUCCUGACGAAGACUGAUACAACUCAAAAACCCAAGUUGGAGCUAAGAAACCAGUAGGAAAUAGGCCAAACAUUCUCACCAGCUGCAUACCUGAAAUAGAAGGAAAUGAGCUUAGGUCAGCUAGUAGGGCCGGGAUACCUAGUUUCUCUUACCUUCAAUUUUAUGUCUUUUUUUCUUUUCAGAAACAAAUAUGUUCAGUUUCACAAGGACGUCCUUAUUAGCACAAAUACAAAGCUGGCAAAAUCCUCUCUGCAAGGAUGAUUGAGAUGUCUCUUAGAGAAGGAGGGGGAUUUGGAUAUGGUGUUCCUGUAAUUUUACAAAAAUCAAGGUCUGGUUUCCAAAUCAGACCCUCCGGUUUCCGUAAAUAAAUUGAGUACACUAGAAAUUAGGUUAACUAAGAUAAGCAAUUAAGACUGCGGCUCCUAGAUGACGUCUAGAGAGUUACUAUCGAGGUCCCUACAUACAAGUAAGCACAAACCAAGUAGAACUCAGAAGAAUCACAAUGCAAUGCAAAUAAGGGGAUUUGCAAUAAUCAAACCAAAGUGGAGAUGCAAUUAUUUGUUUAUUAUCUAAGUAGAUAGUUAAAUACACUAGUGACCCUCAAACUUAUACGAGUGUGUGAAAUAGGUCUACGAACUUCGAAAAGGCAUCCAUGCCCGCCACAUGGGCAUUUCUCGUUGAUGUGGCAUAUGUUAUAGUGUGGACCUCUAAUAGAACAUUUAAGCAUUGAUGAAGUAUGAUAUUAUACUUAGUGGUUGUUUGACUGGGCUCCUUCUAGGCUUCUAAGGGGGCUUCUCUAGCCUGUUUUCAUUGAAAAAUGAUUUCUUCUAUAAAAUGUUUGGUAGGGCUCCUCCAAAUGAGCCAGAACCGGAGCUAAGGAGGAGCCUUACCAAAUAGACCUUUAUACUUGCACCUCUAAUCAGCUAAGCUAGGCUUGAUUCUAGACAUAUCAGUUAUAUCUAGGUAGACAUAUAUGAUUAUAUUCCAUAAGAUUAUAUCCUGAUUGGGUACCAAUCCAUGUAAAUGCUUUGCCCGCAGUAUAUAUUUGGAUGCCCUAUCUGGAAUUUCUAGGUUUUUGGCCUACAUCCCAGCUAUCUAACUUCAUCAAUGUUCAUAAAGCUAAGUGAGCUUAGCUAGUAAGCAUACAUAGAAAACAGAGUUAGAAUCUCACUUAUUUAAAGAUAGUAGUGUUCCUACUAUGUUUCAACACAGAGUAGCUAGCUUGGCAGCAUAAUCCAUAGCUAGCUGCAUAUGCGUGACUUCGGUAACAACAAUAUUGCAUCUAUAUCUAGCUAAUUGGCCACGGUUCCUAAUUACUAGCUAGGCCCCAUUUUCUUAACACUCGUAAUUAAGGAGUAGUGGUUAAGGACAGCUAUACACAGGAGUAGAGGACAUAGAACUGCAGAGAGAUGUGAGAGAUGGCUAGGAACUGGUCCUACAUUAUUAGAUAAGCACAGAGACAUAUUCUAUGCCAUGUUUAUGUUGGGUUUGCCAUCAUACUCACAUCACUUGUUUUUUUUCCCUAUACUAUUGAAGUAUUGAUCAAAUCAAGCUCACAAAUCUAUUAUACAACGGCAACAUUGUUUUUCCCCCCUUGCAUGUCAUCCACUGAUCACUACUAUUAUUUUCUCCUGGCCCCACAUACCCCAGCCUCCUAAGCGCUCUCUCUCUCUCUCUCUCUGCCUACUUGUAUAAAUGCCCAGCUCCUUCCCUCCCAAGUGAGAAGAGGAGGAAGAAGCACUCAGCAAGAGCUUUCAAGAAGCUUUGCUUGUAGUUGUGUUUGCUUUGCUCAAUCUACUGAAAAAAAAACAGCAGAGAGAAAGAGAUCACCAUAACUGAGUUAUUAGCAAGAAAGUGGUAGAGAGGUAUGGGGGUGAUGGACGAAGCAGAGCCGAUGAAGAAGACGAUGAUAAGAGUGAGGGAGUUUGACGUGGAGAGAGACCUCAGGACUGUGGAGGAGCUCGAGCGUCUGUGCCAGGUCGGCCUAUCGGGCGACGACCAAGGCUCUGACCCUGUGGCCGACCAUGAUGGCGGCGGCGCAGCGAAGACGACGACGAGGUGCAGCAGCAAGAAGAAGAGCAAGAAGAAAGGCAUGUCGCUCUACGUCGAGCAGAUCGGCGACCCGUUUGCCCGGGUGCGCCAUGCGCCGGACAACGUCAUGCUGGUAAUUUUACUAUGCCACAGCUCAUGCACCCGGCCAGCCGCCGGGCGCCAUUGACGCUUUCAGUCUGACCUCGCGUGCCUCCGGCAUGGUAGUGAUGCUCAUGAUCGAGCGUGCUUGAUUUGUGCAGGUUGCUGAGUACGGUGAGGAAGAUGAGGUCGUCGGAGUGAUCAAGGCGUGCACCAGGAUGGUAAGCAGAGGAAAGAAGAAGCAAAGCCUCAGCAGCAGCAGCAGCAGCAGCUCGAAGCAGUUCGUCAAGGUGGCAUGCCUUCUGGGCCUCAGGGUGUCCCCUUCCCACAGGUGAUUAAUUAAACAACUAAAGCAAUUAACCCGAGUUAAUCACUGUACACAAAUCAUCAGAUGCUGACACAUUGCGCGAGCAAAGCUGCAAUGCGAGUGCGAGCAACCACCACCACGUGGGGUCAGUGCGCUGACAGUCGCCUUUCGUCGUCUCCGUUGUUGUGCAGGCGCCUCGGGGUCGCGACGGAGCUGGUCCGGCGCGCCGAGUCGUGGUGCGCGGCGCGCGGCGCGGCGUACGCCACCAUGGCCACCACCGAGUCCAACGCCGCGUCGCUCGCGCUCUUCACCGGCCGCUUCGCGUACGCGCCGUUCCGGCGGCCGGUGUUCCUGGGCCACCCCGUGCACCGCCACCGGGUGCGCAUCCCGCGGGCGCACCGCGUGCUGCGCCUGCCCCCGCCGCUCGCCGCGGCCGCCUACGCCGCGCUGCUCCCGCCCUCGGCCGCCGAGUUCCUCCCCGCCGACCUCCCGGCCCUGCUCAACCACAAGCUCACCCUCGGCACGUACCUCGCCAUCCAGCGCGGCGGCGGCGGACCCGACGAGGACCCGGCCCGGACGCCGUCGUUCGCGCUGCUCAGCGUCUGGGACGCCACGCGCUCCCUCCGCCUCCGCGUCGGCGGCGCGCCCACGCUCCUCCGCGCGUCCCUGGCCGCGGCGCGCGCGCUCGACCGCCACGCGCCGUGGCUGCAGGUGCCCUCCGUCCCCGACAUCUUCCGCCCGUUCGGGACCUACCUCAUGUACGGCCUCCGCAUGUCCGGACCGGAGGGCCCGGCGCUCCUCCGCUCGCUCUGCCGGCACGCGCACAACGUCGCGCGCAAGAACCCCGCGUGCGCCGUCCUGGCGGCCGACCUCGGGCCUGACGACCCGGCCAAGGCCGUGGUGCCGCACUGGCCCAAGUUCUCGUGCGACGAGGACGUCUGGUGUAUCAAGAAGCUCGGUGCUUCCACCGUCGGUGACAAUGCUGGCAACGACGACGACGACUGGACGACGUCGCCGCCGCCCAACGUCCUGUUCGUGGACCCCCGGGAGUUCUGACGUGGGCCCAAUGCGAACAAGUUUUGAUUUUUUGAAGACCCUGUAUAUACAUCAUAUACAUACAUUAUACAUGGACAUGAUGUUGCACGUCGAUACGAAAAAUUGGAUUUGCUUCUUGCAGCUUGCUCUUGCACCCAAGUAUGAUUGGUUCUGAAACUCUGAACUUCUGAAGAGCAGUCGGUGGUCAUUUUUUUAAGUGAAUUGGCCAUCUAUCUCUUCAAGAUAUGCAUUCAAGGGCCAGAACACUGGACAUGCUGCACUUGGGGUCUCUUUUGUAUAGCAAAAUGAAUCAUAGCUCAUUCUAGCACAGUUAUUCAAUCAAAUUUGAAAGUGAAUAAAGUUUAUUUGUUUAUAUUAUAUGGUUUACAUGAACUGAGUCAAAGCAGCAUCGACCACGCAACCAGCGUGAAUUUGAGUGAUAAGUACUACAAAAGGGAGUUGGAGGGAGAAGCCACAAAUUGCAUUCCGAUUUCUACAUAAAAAACGGCUCAUGCUCCUCUUGCAUGCCAAAAAAAAAACAGCUCCUUCUCCUAAGGUAUUUGGUACGUCUCAUCCACCGAAGCUGUUGUUGGAGCUAGAACCAGAGCCAUAUACCAAACAUACCCAUUACAAUCAAUAGUUCCCUUGAAUAAUUUAUAAGGUCCAUAUCCACUGACCAUCGAACAAACGUAAAUCAAGGUACUGAAACUUUGAAAGGAGUUUUGUACUUGCUGUAUCAUAGUAAUCUCUUGUUUCCACAAGAUCACAUCUGGCACAAAUCGUAGAUCAAAUCUCUGAAUGUUGAAAAUGAAAGGCUUUUUCUAUAUAUGCAGCAACUUGAUGGGUCCAGUUCAAUGCAGCUCACAAAGGAAAGUGCUGAUUUCGAGAUAAUGUCGCGACCAACCCCAGAUAGCAUAUAAAGGGGCUCGAAUACUAAUUGCCUUUUGCACCAAUGCUGCGAGUGCAGACAGUGCGUACCUUCUUCGAGCCACUGGCCACGGCGAGGCCCUACGUGAAAUUUAUACUAAGACUUACGUUCUGGGCUCUCAGAAUAGAAACAGCUAAGAAACAAAAGAAGAGCAAUUUUAUCCAUGUACUACCUCAGUAUCCUUAGGUUCUCCAAAACCUGAAACAGAAACGUUGGACAUUAUGAUAUAGCAAUCAAACUAUUUGUUUGGUGAUAACAAAUAUUUUUUUACAAAUAAGUAACAAAUAUGUACAGAGGGCAGAAAUACAUAAAAUUGCAAAAUAGUACAAUUUGCAAGUGACACUGGAAUUUGAUUCUGAAAUGCAUUUUCCUACUGGGACAAUAAGAAUGACAUACAGCUAUCAAUGCCAACUUACAUGCAUUCGCUGUUCAUUUUUUCCAAGUUCAAACAGAACAAAACUGAAGAUAUUCUAUGUGCACCGAGAAAAAGUGCAAUUGUUUAUGUCAUACAUCUGCUGUGUAAUUUUUUCAAACUAUGAACAGAACAUUCCUUGCAUUUCUCUUCGUCUAAAGAACCUCCCUAGAUAGGAGGCCACAAAUUAAAGACAGAAGCAUAUCUGUUGCUGGCUGUCAUGUGCAGACUGAGAAUAAAUAUGCGAGUUGGCCCCAUCUAAUAAAGAGUAAUGUGGACAAGAAUAUGCAUAAGCAGUCCAAUCUGCUUAAAAGACACUAUGCAACUAUAUCUGACAAGAACUGCAAUUGGACGAGGAUAAGCAAAAUAUCAGUCCAAUCAGUUAGUGAACCACUUAAGCAAAACCGAAUAGAACAUGUUACAAAGGGAACAAAUAAAUAAGUUAGACAAAACAACAAUCUGCUUUUAGGUCGCCUUGCAUAAGGAAUGUACCCAAAUAAAAGAGAAAAAAAUGGCUAGUAAUAAUAUAACAAGCCUAGAAAGAAUAAAAGAACAAAGAAAAGCUAACAACAAGCAAAAAUAUCAGUCAGUGAAUAGUAUCCUGCAAUCGAAAACUUUAUUUUGCACAUUUCAAUGGCAUAGAUAUUAAUAUAUCAAUAGUAAUUUAUCAUUUUAUUGGUGAAGACUAAUCACAAAAUUUUAUUUUGCGCACUCCAAUUGGCACAGAUACUAAUCCCUGAAAUAAUAAUUUACUGAUGAAGACUAAUCAGCAAUGAAGAAUAAGAAACGCGCUCCAAAUAAUCUGAAAUAGUAAUUUACUGGUGAAGAAUAAGCACCAGUGAUGGAUAAGAAAUACACUUCAAAUCAUUCCCGGAGACCAAAAAGAUAUCAGGUUGCUUUUUUUGGAAAGUGAAAGAUCCACAAGAAUACAGUAAUCACACAUGUUUAUUUUGAUCCACUUUAUAUCUGAUUGCUUAGGAGCACUGGCAAGACUAUAGCAGUUUUGACUCCCUGCCCACACAUCAUGUCCAAUAAGGUUCGAUUCAUAAACAGAUACACUUUCAAAUAACAAGUAAUAUUGCACCUUGCUGAGGAGUGAGGUGGACUAGAUGGCAACAGCUGAGAAGAGGAACUUUCAAACAAUGUGUUAGAUCUCAUUCCUUCUUGUUACUUGCCCAAAAAUAUGACAAGGAUAGCCAAUUCAACAAAAAUAGGCAUGUGCAUGCAGCCAACUACUUGCCUCAGUUGGCUCAAAGGAUGGCUGUUGCACUUGCACAUGCCACAAUGUCUUUCAACUUCGUUCAUUAUUAUUAGGAAUUAGGUACUUCACACAGUAGACAUAAUAAUAGGAAUUGGGACCAGAUCUGCCUUGGUACUCCUCAUCGGUACUUAGUUUAGCCAUUGGAAUUUUAUCAGCUUGUGGUUCAAGGAACUGCAAAAAUAUCAGUCAAAAUAACCAAACUCGUCUAUAGAAUCUUACCGAUUCAAGUUUCAAACUGAAGAUAAGUUCAAACAGCAGAGUUACAAAAGAAACCACAGAAAAAAAAAUCAUGAAAAUUUGCUAAACUCAAGAUUUUCCCGAGCAUUUUCAACUAAUUACUCUUCUGAACUUCCUCUCUGACAAGAAAUGGCGGUGAUGCCACAAGCUUCUUCUCGUUUAUCAGAGAUAGAACCCAAGUUUUUUUCUAGAACACGACUUCACGUGUAUUCCAUUGAGGAGAUAGAACCCAAGUCAAUGAUCAUGAAAAUCUCCCUAUAUUAUUUGUCAUAGAUGUUAGCUAUUGCGUAUGAGUUUUUCAUGAAUUAGUUCCAUAAUAACAAUCGAACUAUAAAUACCUACAGAUAAAACUUUCUCCAGUACAUCUUCAGGCCAUGUAGGCUCAGCUGAUACACUAGAUAGGAUAGUGACUCAAACGGUGUACUGCCAAAUGAUGCACCCUUUUUCAUACAAAGGGGCAGAAAACAAAGUACUGUCAUCGUGAAGAGGAACUUUCCAUUCCAUAUCAUGAGAAGUAACACUGCGAGGAUCUGUAGUAAGGAUGUUAAAAGAGGCAGUGGAGACCCAGCAGCUCAGUUUCAUUCAUGACACAUCACAAAUGUACCCAUUUCACUAGGAAGGCAAGCGAAAGCAGGCUUAAUUACGUACGCAAACAAUUGACAAAGCGUCCAUUACAUUCGGUUGAUGUAAAACUAAAGCAUAAAUUGUAUGGGUGUGCCUAUAUAAUGCCUUGCACGAUUCAACAUUGGGACCUACUCUGAAGUUUUUUCAGCUUGACAGUAUUGCCUAUUUCCCCCAAUUUUACUGUCAACAAAGGCCCGUAAUAAUCAGCUUGGACUAGUUAACUGACCACCACAAGGGAACCAAAUUAUUGAUUGUACAUGUCAAAGCUGUAACUAUUUUGCUUAGUAUUUGUCAGGUAAGCAAGAAACAUAUACGUUUCUGAACCAGAGAAUUGGUGCCCUACUGUGUUGCCAGCCACUUCCAGAUGAACAACAGGCGCUUAAAGAUAACAUGGAAGCAGCUGGUCAGCUGGACUACAUUCCAUAUCAUGGGUGACACACUCAUGAAGAUGAUGGUCAGGCAGGAUGAGACAGACGAAGUCCAGAUCCUGGUAAUAUUCUCUCGAAGAGUCGUAGUUGAGUUUUAAAGAUAAAGCAAUAAAGGCAUGGGCACAACAAACUGAAAACCACGCAUACAUAAAAUUUGCAGCUACAGCUAAUCGGUGAUCAGUCGAGGCGGCGCAGGAGAUACUCGACUUCGACGUCCUUGGUCAGUGGCAUUACCCACUGAUCAUACAGCUUGGAGAGCACUUUAGGAUUGACCUUGCAUUCGCUGUCACUGGCAGUGGCAUUGUCCUCCAAGGUGACGUUCUGCCCGAAGGUCCUGGCCUUCUUCUCUACUCUCUUCUUAACCUUCUCUUCCACAGCCUUGAAUGUCAGCAGAUCCAUCAAAGAAUUGCUGUCCUGAAUUGACAGUGAGAUAAAGCAUAAAUGGUUCAUGUUCUGGAGCUUAUGUCUAAAGCACAUUCAAAGCAGACUGAGAUGUGGUAGUGUGACAGAGGCCUUGUUUAGAUGCAGCCAAACAGCCAAAACUUUUGGAGAAAUGAGCACUUUUUGGAAGAAUGGAUCUAAACAGGGGCUUGUAAAACUUGGCUGUAAAGAUUUGGAAUUUGGGACCUUGGAGCCCCAAAACUGUGUAAGCUUGCUUAGGGACCCGUGUCAUGUGUCUUGCAGACCAAAAAUUUGGGAAGCAUCUAAACACCUAUUUGAAUGUAAAGUUUACAGCCAAAAGUUUUGGGAUGUAAAGAUUUGGGAUCUAAACAGGCCCAGAGUACCUUAGUAGCAUAUAAAAUAUAUAACAUACAAAUACAAAGCUACCCACUUGAAGGAAAUUAAGUUGAUUUCUUAGUUGAACUUCAACUAUCAAGGUGCACCAAUAUGUGUAGCCCUUGGGAACACCAAACAUUUCUUAUAUUGCUAUACAUAGUACCACCAAACCUACCAACCCUAUAAGGUAAUUUGAGGAGGAAGAGAAUGAGAUGUUCAGUAGAUUGACCUUUGCUUUUAUUAAUCGACUAUAAUCUUGAGGAGCAUCUUUGAACUUGACCUCAGCAACAUAUUUACCAAUAUGAAUUCUUUGUGAUAGAACCUACAAGAAACGAACCUUGUAUGUUACAGGCAUAAAAUAAUUUCAAAGUAAAAGGCUGGCAGUUUGCAUUUGUUCCUGCAGUUAAGGAAAUUCUAGCAUAGAACUCAUACCUGCAGACACGCAAAAUCCAGUGCAACUGUUUGUGCAUAGUUACCAUCAUCACCAUCAACAGUGAAUAAUGGGAGCAAUUCAUCAAAAUACAUUUUCCAUAUUGCAUCAUUCACAGUGACCAACAAAGCAAAAGGGUGCAAAGCCUAAUAAAAAAGCAAUUGAAGUUCAGAUCUCAGCAAUUAUUAUUAUCAGUUCUUGAUAUUGCAAGGUUAAUGCCUGAUGAUGUGCACCUUUGGGGAAGGCUUGGUAGGAAAGAGAGGCGAGGGAAGAUCUUGAGGGAAGAAUGGAACAUCUUCUGGCUUUUGAUAAUGUCCAGCCUAUGAGAAUUCACGAUUGUAUUGAGAUUGUGUAUGAGAUUGCACAAGAAUGUGAAACUAUUGCAGUAUAUGAAAAUUCACACAUGUAAUGAGAUUAUGAAGGAGAUAGCACAGAAAGGUUAUCGUUGCAGUGUCUGUGCAGUAAUACCACCAGUAGCCUCUGUGCUAUUCAGCUUGGGUAAGAACAUUUUGUAAGCACUUAAAUCAAUGUUUUGACAUUCGCGUCUGGUGAAAUAUCAGUAAACAAUGAUUGAUCAUAUUAGUUAUUCAGUUAGAUAAAUAAUAGGAAGUACAUUUUAUUUUUGCAUGCCAACUGAAAUUGACACAAACAAAUAGAGACAGGAUUCAGUUCUUCGAAUCAACACACAGUGGAAAGCUAUGUAGAGAAGUGCCAAGGGUGCUCAAAGAACCAAAAUCCAUCUCUACCCUGAUAAGAUCUGGAUUUCACCAAGUGCCAUAACUGCAUAUAAUGUGAACAUAAUUUUUUUUUUUAAAAAAAAAACUAUUUCAAUCCUAGAGUACUGAAGUUCUACAACGAUUUGCUUUACCAGUUAGAUCAAACCUAAAUUAAGCAUUUCACAAGACAAAAAUAGGUAAUCUGCCAAUGGCAACAACUGCAGCAUGUACAUUUCAGCUGAAUUCCAAACCCAAUCAGAGACCACGUUCACAGUAACAAACGACAGGUUCAGACUGACCAAGAACUUGAGAGCGCAGUGAUUUGGCCUCGUCCGCAUAGUUCCUCAACCAGGCAAGGCAAUACAAGUCUUAACAACAGAGAAAACUGACGGCCGGGCCAUCAGGGUCGGGCCUUUGCGCCGCGGCCGGCGUAUAAAGACGAACAAGCGAGGCAUGAAAAGGAAGAAGCUUGCCUUCGCGUUGAGGGCCUCUGCUUCCCGGACGAAGAACUCCACGAGCGAAUAUCCUCCGCCGCCGCCGGCGGCGGGCGCGUAGGCCGGCGCGUUCCGCGGAUGCCGGGCGCGCUCGAUGAGCGCGAACACCACGGAGUCCUCCAGCCGGACCAGCGCAUCGCGCACCGCGGCCAGGCUCAGCUGCUCGCCGCCCGCCGCGUCCAUGGCGAGUAAUGGAUCGGAGCCGGAGGGAGGGCUACGACGAUUGAGGGUCGGGUCGGCCGUCAGCCAAGCGUGAACUGCGGGUGGCUUCCAGGUGCCGGGUUGCAGCGGGGAAAGGCGCGUGAUUUGGGCCUCCGGCACGGUGGUGGUUGCAGUGGUGUUGACGCGGACUGCGAGUAGUGUGGUCAGUCCACGGUCCAGACCGUUGGUGGAAAUGGUUUGAGUGGCCAUUGGGGCCCAAGAUGACCAAUUUGCUCACCUCCAAGUGCAGUGCGUACACGACGGCCCGAGUGCGGAAACCGACUGAACAGAGUCGUCCACAUAAAAUGGCAAUUGUUCUGCUGAUCCAUUCCUAGAAGACAGGUGUGAAAAACGUGUUUGAUAUACUGCUUUAACGGUGGAGUAGUUUUUCUUAGCUUAGCUGGUGGAGAUAAAACUAUUUUAAGAAAACUUUUAGUAAAACAGAUUCUCGUGAUAAAGAUAGUAAAAUAUCAUAAUGCCCUUUUUUCUUUUUAUUUAUUUAUUUAUUUAUUUUUAUCUUUUUAUUUAUCCUUAUCCUCUUCAUUCGACCUUAUGAGUUCCUCUAACCUCGUGUAUUCGUCUCUAGUGCCACACCCACCUCUUUCAGACUCUGCCCUCCUUGUCCCAUCAGUUCAGCUCUUGUCCGACUUCGACUCUUCCUCGACGUCCCUCCCUGUGCUCUUGUCACUGCUCCCACCCAUCUCUCUCCAACUUUGGUCAUUGUUUCUCCUCGCCGUUAGUUCCUCCCUCUCCCCCUCCCCCCGGACUCCAGCACUGUUCGCCGCAACUUCGCCUUAUUUCACGAUUCCAAACUUGACGACUUCAUCCCCCGCACGACUCCCUGUCGACCGCCCUGUCUCGCACGCCUUGAUGAAGGGAAGUUUGGGGAGGGCCCAUGCACUCGGAUGGAGGAGCUGGGUGAAGCCAUUUUUUGGGAUGCCUUGGAGGAUUUUAGCUCUAGAGAGCGUGAUUCGCAGAAUAACCGGACGCCCCAUAUCCUGUUUGGUUGGUGAAGCCGCUAAACUGCUCUAGGAGCGGCUCCAGGAGUGCUACCUAAUAGGCUUGAAAAUGAGUCCCAAAGAAAAUUGUCUACCGAAAAUGAAUAAGAACAAUAGGGAAAUAACAUACAUAUGUUGAAAAGUGUGUGUAGAGAAAAAUAUAAAAAAGUGUUCUACAUCCAAAUAGAUAGACAAAGAAGGAAAAAAUGGCAUGAUGUCAGUAUAUGUUGUGUUUGGUGAACUUGUGACUUGUGAGAGUGCUUUUGCUGCAAAAAAUAUAGAACGACAAUGAAAUGUACUUUUGUUACAAAAAUAAUAGAAUGACAACCAAAUAGAUAGAACUUAAAGUUGUUUUUUAGAAGCCAUUACUUUCAUGUAGUAUAAUUUUCUCAGUACCUUAGUUCGUUUCUAGUUUUUAACUCUAUACUUUUCAAAAUGGAUGAAAGUAGAGAGAUGUUCCCCAAUUGUUCUAUGCGCCCAUCCCCAUCCCUGUGGAGGACGACAAAUCCCCAUCCGAGGUGGAGGGGGAAUAAUCUCCAUAUCCCCAGCCCCAACCCCGAAUGGGGAAUGCCUUCCUGACGGGUUCUCCAUCCCCGACGUCGUGCCUUUGCAACAACAUCAGAGAGAAUCCAUGGAAGGGAGAGUGAGGUGUACCAAGCUCAUGCAUAAAUCUAACCACAGCCGGUUAUGGAUUCCUCGUUGACCUCUUCCUACGGCCCUUGGCCUGGAGCACCUCGACCUCUUGGGCUUGCUGCUGACCUGUUAUAACGACAUAGAUGUAGACCAAUGGCAGUGGGAGAGGCUGGGGAAGUAGGCAACCAGCACUAUGCACAAAUUGCAACCUGUAGGUGAGCAUAACAGCAUGGAUGGGUAUAGGGAAUAGCAAUGAGGUUGGGAGGAGCCGCUAGCUGCGGACAUGCCAUAGGGCAGGGCAAACUGCGACCAUGGACAACGACGAAACCGCUAGCAAAUGUGGCACUGGGGUGCUCCGUGCGGCUGUUGUCAUUGUGGAGUCAUUGGCCUACUAAAUUUAUGGGUGGAAAUUGGAUUUUAUGUGAAUUAUUAGGCUUGUUAGACAACUAAACUGGGAUUCCCGUAGGGAACGGGGACGAGGAAUGCGUCCCCAUCCUCAUCCCCGUGAGAUCCGACGAGAAACAAAAUUCUAUUGUUUUCAUCCCCAUAGGAGAAGAAAGAUCUCCAUCCCUCGUCCUCUAAUAGAGGAAUUCUUUGCAGAGAAUCGGAAAUCAAAGAUCGAGUCCCCAUUGCUAUCUUUAAUCUCUAUUGACAUAAGAUUUCUUGACUAACCAGUGUUUCAUCUAUACUUGUGAUGAUUGGAAUUGUAAGAUAGGUUUCAUUAAGAGAAUGGAUACUAUCUCCAUUGAUCACAAAUGUCAAUAUUAUAAUAUAGUUGACUAAUCCGGGAUAUUGUUGUCAAUAGCCAUGCCUUUACGAAUGUUAUUAGCACACACUUGUAGUAAAAAAAAUUUAAAAAUGGCAAUGCACGCUAGCAAUAAAGAUUAAAAAUCUAUUUUGCUCACAUGGGUUCAUCACAAGUGCAGUGCUUUUCUUUCCAGAAAUAAAAGAAUUCAUUAGCUUUAGCAUAUACUCAUGGUGCGCCUGCGUGUAAGUUUUUCAUAGACACGUGCGAUACUAGUUUUUUUUUCAUCGACGCACAUGGCGGCGCGCGGCUCUUGUCAUGUGCGGCUACAUCCGAGCGUCGCAAGCACCAGGAAAGCGAUACGUGUCAGUGUCCGUGCCUGUCCUGUGGACAGGGUGCUUGUCCCUCCCUUUCACCCAACGCUCACGCUCCGGACUACCAAACCACAACCACUACUCUACUCGGGACUCGGGAGUGGGUAGGAAAGGAUCCCACCAAGCAACCGUGCCGUGCUCUUUUCCGCGCGCCACGACAAGGGGAGCGCGCCGCGUGCUUGGUAGUUGGCAGUUGGCACCACUCGUCCUCCGCGUGCUGCACCCGCCACUGGCACUGCGAGAAUCCCCCAGCCACGUGAUCCUCGUACAAGCACCUUUUUUUUUUUAAGAUCUUUUAGUUGUAAAAAUAUUUUUGAUUUCCCUACGCUAACAUUUUCAUUUUUAUUUAACAAACAUCGUCCAAUUAUAGAGUAAAUAAGCUUACAAGAUUUACCUCGCGAUUUACAGGCAAACUGUGCGAUUAAUUUUUGUUUUCAUCUAUAUUUAAUGCUCAAUGCAUAUACUGUAAGAUUCGAUAUGACGGGGAAUCUUGAAAAGUUUUUGGUUUUUGGUGUGAACUAAACAAGACUUUAGUUUUAUUUCCUCGAAAGAAUCAAUUUCGAGUUGUCCUAAGUCAAAGUUUUUAAACUUUGAUCAAUUUUUUAAAACAAAUGUUAAGAUUGAUGGUAUCAAAUUAGUAUCAUUAGAUUCAUCAUAAAAUAUAUUUUUAUAAGAUGUGCAUUUUAUGUCAUAGACGUUGUUACUCUUUUCUAUAAAUUUAGUCAAACUGGUACGGAUUCUAGAAAUUGAUUUUUUUUAUAGAUAGAGAGAAUAUAUAUUUACUUGGUGUGGUAAUAAUAAAAAGUAAACAGCUGCUCGAGUGCUGGUGGCAGCCAUUAACAAGAGAUUAGAGACAGCUGUAACCACUAACCUGUACCACACGUUUAUUUAACACUAGGGCCUUGAUUGGUUCUAAAAAAUUUCAAGAAUUUUCAUCACAUCAAAUCUUGCGAUACAUAUAUGGAGUAUUAAAUAUAGACAAAAACAAAAACUAAUUACAUAGUUUACCUGUAAUUUGCGAGACUAAUAUUUUGAACCUAGUUAGUCCAUGAUUGGACAAUAAUUUACCAAAUACAAACAAAAGUGCUACGGUAUCCAAAAUUUAAAAAUUUUGCCAACUGAACAAUGCCUAGGGUCUUGUUCAGAUCCAAUUUUUUUUUUGAGUUUUGAUUCUGUAGAAUUUCGUUUGUAUUUGACAAUUAUUGCCUAAAUAUAUAUUAACUAAACUCAAAAGAUUCGUCUCACAAAUUACAAAUAAAUUAUGUAAUUAAUUAUUUUUUAUCUAUAUUUAAUACUUUAUAUAUGUGACGCAACAGAAUUUUAAAAAGUUUUUUUGAUUUUGAGUAGAACUAAACAUAUCCUAAGACUAUCUCCAACAAUUGUUACCCAAAAUACAAUACCCAUUUGUCCUUUGGGUAGCGCUACAGGUAAAAGGUUCCAUACCUAUUUUUAGUCUUCUCCAACAACAAGACCUAAAAGACAACACUCUCUGCAAAUAGGUCUCAAGGAGAGAGGAUACCCAAAUUUGGGUUAUGCCUCUCUUGAUAUCCAAAAUGGGUCUUCUGUAUGGGUACUCUGUUGGAGGCUAUAGGUAUUGUGUUGGAGACCUGUAACACUCUGGUGUUAAGCGAACUAAAACAUGACAUGUCAUCAUGAGCAUUGCAUAGUUUGUUUGUUAAGUAAACCCUGAUGCAUUAACUUAAAAUAAGUUUAAUUUGGAUGAAUGUGUUUAGGAAGUCAAAGUGUGCUUAUUUUGUGUAUGGAUGCUGGUGUUGGAGUUUAAAAACUUUUGGGUGAAAGUUUCCGAGAGCUUAAGGGGGAAACCCUGAUUUUCAAUCCUAGUUUUACCCCCUUUUGUGCAAUUCAAAAACUAAGCAAAAUUUGAAGUUGAGUUCAAAAGCAAAGUUGUAGGUCUUGUCAAGAUGUACAACUUUGGUGUUUUGAGUUUUUGAAGUUUCAGUACAAAAUUCAAAGUAAUUUUGAAAAUACAGAUUUCCGGAAAGUGUCCCCUUUUCCAAUUUGAAUCUCCAAUUCAAAAUCUAUUUGGAAUUUUGAGAAAUGGUCAACAUGAAAGUUGUAGGGCUUGAAAAGUUGAACCACUUUCAUGUUGGGAGUUUUUCAAGUUGUUUUGGAAAAUCAAAAGUAAUUUUGGAAUUUCUAAUCUGCCCCAAUUAAAAAUUUGAAUUCUUCCCAACUUGAGAUUUGGAUUUCAAACUGUUUGGCUCAAAUUCAUCCUUUUCCAUUUGAAAUCAGUCUUGGGCCCUUAAAGAUGUUUUGUAGCUCAUCAAUUUUUGCACAACUCUUAUUUUGGCAGAUUUUUGACUUCUAUUCAAGGUUUGGUCAAUUUUUCACAAAAAACAAAAGAGAGGAGAUAAGGGAGAGCUACAGUGAUCCAAUGGGGAUCACGAGCUCGUCCACCGCGGUUGCAGAGCGGGCAGGCACCGCUCUCGCGCGCGCUGCCACGCACCGGACCACGCAGCUGCUUGGCUGCGCGUGUCCGCCGUGAAGUGGACACGGCCCCGACGUGCUCAUCCUUCUCCUCGGUGUUUCCCCUGAGCGGCCGUCUUGUCUUUUUUCUUCUCACCCAACUCCGGCGACCCCUCUGCGCCUUCAAAAUUCGCCUCGGUUGAUUCCUUUCCAUUUCCCCCGAGCACUCCACCAGCUUCGCCAAGUUCUCGGCUUUUGAUUGCGCCCCCGAGCGCAAGCGCUAACUCACCAGAGCUCUCCACCUGAUCCCUUCUUCCCCAAACCCGACCGAAGCGCCGCCGUGAGCUCCUCGCCGUGGUCAGCAUCACCCCGAGCUUCUCCGCGGCUACUUCUUGCUCCUUUGGGAUCGCGGUGAGCCUCUGAUGCUGUUGCGCUACUCAAUUCGCGUUUUACUCAAGCGUAGCGGCCGGCGUUGGCUCGGCCGAGACGGCCGUCCGCCGUGCCCGUGGUCGCAGGGGCUAGGGUAGGGAAGAGCGGGUGAGAAGAGGGUCUACGGGUGCGCAAGGAGCUUUGGGAGCUAGUUUGCCUCGCCGCAGAAGCCGGGCACUCACCAGCACGGAGCUAGAGCUCACCGGAGCGGUGGCGGGAGCUUAAAGGCGAAGCUGACAGCGGGGGCCCGCUGUCAGCGACGCCUGAGUGGAGGGGGUGGCGCGCGCAGUGCCCGCUUGGGCCGAGCGGGAGCAGGCCGGCCAGCAGGCCGAGUUCCUGGGCCGCUCGUGGCAGUAGCGUUUUCUUUUUUUCUUUUCUGCAAUUUUUCAUUCAUGUUUGAUUUUAUGUAUUAAAUCAUAUGCUGGUUCAAAAAUUGUGAAAAUUUUUGUAUAGCUUCCAUAAAAUGGAUAGAGCAUAAGAAAAAUGUUAGGUUUUAUUUUUUUUGGUAACUUUCAUAUAUAUUUAAAUUGCCUCUGUUUAUUAAUAGAUCAACCUUCUAUGAUUUUUAAUAAAUUAUGGGUAUAUCCAAAAAUCAUGAAAUUUAAUAUGUGAACUUGUGUUAUUGUUAUCUAGCUUCAGGAUUAAUUUCAGCUCUGUUUGAUAAAGUAUGCUCUGUUUCUUAAUAAAGCUAUUUAAAAUGCUUAUAAAAGAAAUAGAAAUAAUUAAUUCAUUUAGGCUUUGUGUUAUAUUUUGGACUGAUUGAAAACCAGUGGUCACUUAGCAUGAUAUGCUCCCUGGUUAUGGUUUAUUUCAUAUAAAUGAUCUUUGUUGUUUAAUAGAUACCCAAAAUUUGCUUAAUAAAAAUGAUAAAGUUUGCUUAGUAAUAGUCUAUGCUUUGAUAGCUAGAUUAUUUUGUUUCUUUACCAUGAAGGUAAAUUGUACUCGAGAUAGUCAUGUUCGUUGUUGUCAUCCAAGAACAUGUAACCUGUCUUUAGUAUGCCAUGAGUAUAUCAUAAUCAUGCAUAUGCACUUUUACGUAUAAAAUACGCUCCGGAAGAAUCUGAUCCUCAGUGGGUUGCUUCCGAGUUCGUGGAUCCUUCGGGUUUUGCUGAGUUGCCGAACUUCCCUUCCGGUCAAGGCAAGCCCCGGACAUUAAACCCUAUCCUUGUAUUUUCAUAAAGUUAUUUAUAUCACUUGAGUUAAUAUGAUGCAUUAGGUGAAUAGGAGUUGAGUGAAUCCUAUUUGCUGCAUUAUCUACCUUGAUGAUUUCAAUAUUAACCUUGAUACUUGUUUUAUGAAAAUACGUAGUAUGCUUAGCCCUGCUUAUUAGAUAAGUUUUCAAAUGAAAAAGUUUGAAGGGUUGUUGUGGCAUACUUUUAUGGUCAAUAAUGUUUCAACUUGAGACCGGUCGGUGGACUUGCUUUAAGAAUGGAGUCUUAAAGUAGUGUCUCCAACUGUGUCGAUUAAGGACCGUACCGUUGAUUGGCCUGUUGUGAUUGAGAACUUUGAGUACAGCCCACAUGCGGUGGUAAGCCUUACCUAUAGCUAUUCCGAUACUGGAGAACGGCUAACCGCGUACUGGGAGUGGAAAGAUGGCGAGAGUAGCGUGUACCCACCUUACGGAUCUGAGAUGACCGGGAAACAUCUAGAUUGGCUGUAGGAUGGUGGUGUACUGUACUCUCGGGUGACGCUGGACCCGUUCUUGUAUGGGAGGAUCUAUAGAAAAUGUUGACAUAUGCAAGAUUAAGUUCUACAUAUGUCGUGUGGUACUGAAUCCCCAGCUGGGUUUAAUCGAUUCGAAUAGCCGUGUUUCCUCGGAUAUGGAGCCUCAAUCCUCACCCCAUCAUCGUAGUAAUAAGUGAAUCUUUGAUAUAAGAAAGAUAUGGUUUGCUUAUGAAAGUUUGAUAAUAAUUUGGUUAGUCAUAAAUGAUAACCUUGAGUUAAAACUUGAAAGUAGGUUUUAAAUCUUAGUAAGCUUUUAUGCAAAAGAUAUGCUUUGAUCUUGCUAAAGCUUUGCCUUGAAUCCCUAUAGCCUGCAUACCUGAGUCUUCAUCUCUUUUAUAGUCGGUUAAGUCUUGUUGAGUACUUUUGUACUCAGGGUUUAUUAACCCCUGUUGCAGGUGAAUCCUUUGAUAAUCCUUUUGAUGGUCGUUGUUACUUUACUCUUGUGGAGGAGAGUAAUGAUGAGGAAUCUGAUGUGUGACCUUGGGCAAGUAAAACUUGUUGUGUGAUCUAUGGUUUAUGUAAUAAUAAGUUCCGAACCUUUUAUGUACCAAAUACUUAUGGUUUGUAACCUUUGAACUUAAGUUGCAAUCUUUGUUAUGUAAACUUUUCGCUUUUACUCUGAUUUAUCUUAUCUAUGAAAAUGUUGUAAUACUGUAAUGCUUGAUGAGGGAAUUCCUGUAAAGAAUGUAACGUGGAUGAUUCGGGUUUCCCGAGGACACCCGACAGACUUCUUGAGUCAUUUGGAACUCGUGCACGUCGAUCAGAAGUCUUUGGGACAAUGAUGGGUGCAUGUAGGCCACUUAAUUCAGGAGGUUCUGCCACAAGACCUAUUUUGGAUUUGGGUUUCCAAAUGGUCUUCCAUUGGAGACAGCCUAACACAGAGAAAUGCAAAUGGGGAUGACGGACGGUUCCCGUUUUGCCAUUGGUAUUCGAGGUUCACAGUUCACUUCACACACACCACGCCCGGGCAGACGACGACUCCAGGUGCGGUCUGCCGUCUGCGGUGGUGGUCAGGACUAGUCUUCGACGCCGUCAAGGUCGUGGCACUUGGCGUUUCACAUGACCGUGCGAGCGCGAGCGCGAGCGCCUUGACGCCGGCCGCUUCUUCUGCUCGCGUUCUCUGCCAUUUCCGCCACCUUACCGGACCAUUUCUUUCCGCUUCCACCGAUAAAUCCUUGCGGUUGCCCCUGUUGCUGCUCUCUUGGACUCAAGGAAACAACUCCUUCACGAAUCCAUCAUUCCAUUCGCCCGUCCGUGCGUAAGCGCAGCACCCACCGGCACCGCCGCUCGCCCGUUCCACGACAGAGAGAGAGAGAGAGAGAAGAGCCGGGCGUCAGCGCGCGAUGGCCGUCGUCGUGUGCGUCACCGGCGCCGGCGGCUUCAUCGGGUCGUGGAUCGUUAAGAUCCUCCUCGCCCGCGGGUACGCCGUCCGGGGCACCUCCCGCCGCGCAGGUACGCCCUGGGUGCCGCGCCGCUGCUGCUGCUCCCUCCCUGUCUCCGUGCCAUUCCGUCUCCCCUGGAAUGUUAUGUUUGCCGACGUGACGGGUUGUCUUGUUUCGUCUUCUUGGCUGUCGUUUGUGGCGGCCGCGGCUGGAUCUCGUCUCGGAUUCCGAUUCGGUUCGGUUGGCGGCGCCAGAUGACCCCAAGAACGCGCACCUGUGGGCGCUCGACGGCGCGGCGGAGCGCCUCACCAUGCUGCAGGUGGACCUGCUCGACCGUGCCAGCCUCCGCGCCGCAUUCCGCGGCUGCGACGGCGUCAUCCACACCGCCUCGCCGAUGCACGACAACCCCGUAAGCGCCGCCGCCCGCCGCCAAUGAUGAGAACUCCUCGGCUCUCCUUCGGUACAAUAUGCGAGCGCAAAGAUUAAAACUCAAGUUUUUCCCCCCAUUUUUUUACCCCUCUGGCAGGAGGAGAUCAUCGAGCCGAUUAUCGUCGGGACGCGGAACGUCGUCGAGGCCGCGGCCGACGCCGGCGUGCGGCGCCUGGUGCUGUCCUCCACCAUCGGCACCAUGUACAUGGAUCCGCGCCGCGACCCGGACGCGGCACUCGGUGACUCCAGCUGGAGCGACCUCGAAUACUGCAAGAGCACCAAGGUAAAUAAAUGGAGACGGAAUCAAAUUUUCACCCCAAGAAUCUCGGCCGCGAAUCAUCAAUUACAAAAGAAAUCGCUCCCGAGUCCUGACGCCGUUGGAACUCGCAGAACUGGUACUGCUACGCGAAGACGAUCGCGGAGCAGGGCGCGUGGGAGGCGGCGCGGGCGCGGGGGCUGGACCUGGCGGUGGUCAUCCCGGUGGUAGUGCUCGGCGAGCUGCUGCAGCCCAGCAUGAACACCAGCACCCUGCACAUCCUCAAGUACCUCACUGGGCAGACCAAGGAGUACGUCAACGAAUCGCAUGCCUACGUGCACGUCAAGGACGCUGCCGAGGCGCACGUCAGGGUGCUCGAGGCGCCUGGCGCCGGCGGGCGGCGGUAUGUCUGCGCUGAGCGCACUCUGCACCGCGGCGAGCUCUGCCGUAUCCUCGCCGGACUCUUCCCGGAGUACCCUAUUCCGACAAGGUAUGGCAAUUCGUGGCUUCCCGGAGUACUCUAUUCUGAAGUCUGAAUCACUGCUGAUGUUAGCUUGCUUCAAUCAAGAUUCAUGACGCAUUAGUAUUCUGAUGAAGAAAUUGAAUAAUUCGUAGCAUGGUGUUGCUUGAAUUGCAGCAUUUUAUAUUGGUUUUAUAUAAAAACCAAUAGUUUCGUUUCGGAUAUGAAGAAAUCAAAGGAAAGCAAUAGUGGACUGCUUCAAGUUCAACUUCUGCACAGCAAUAUGAAGAAAUCAAUGGUCAAGAGGGUUGGUCAAGAUAGCCAAAAUUAAGGGAGUCAAAUGGGAAUCUAUGGGGUAGAUAUGCAUACUUAGAAUAGGCCAAGAUAUAGUGAACCAAAUACCCACACAUCUAGGAAACUGACAUACAGACUUCUUAUGCAUGGAGUCUUUUAUUAGUAUUAUAUAUCUCUGUGCUUGUAAAUGUUCUGUUGAUAAACAGAAGUGAUUUAGACCGGUGUCUUGGAUUCCUUAAAAGCAAAACAAUGCCUAUUCUUUUCUCUGAAGACAGCACAUGGAGCCUAAUCGACAUCAAAGCAGAAAUAUUUUGCCUUGUUUUCAAGAUAUAGCAACAAUAUACAUGGUGUCUGGAGUUUCAAAUUGCUUCAAGAGUCAAGACAAUGCAUUGACCAUUUACUUUGGCAGCACUAUAUUGAAGUAUUAAUUGCCAAUAUAACUUACUGGUAGCAUGCUACUUUUGCAGGUGCAAGGAUCAGGUGAAUCCACCAAAGAAGGGUUACAAGUUUACAAACCAGCCUCUGAAGGACCUAGGAAUCAAGUUCACGCCAGUGCAUGAAUACCUGUAUGAAGCAGUGAAAUCCCUGCAAGAAAAGGGAUUCCUCCAGAAGACCUCUAACACCAAGGUAAUGAAAAAGAACACUGUAUGAAGAUCACCUGAAGAAGCAUAGUUUUUUUAUGAAAUGAACAAGCAUAGUUGUAGAGUGGUAUCACAGUUUGCAUUUCAUACAGUCCAACUUUCCUUGGAAGAAGAAGAAAAAAAAAGGGGGGGGGGGGGGGGACAGGAUAUUCAUAACAAAGCAGUGACAGUUGUGGUCUUGUCUAAAUACCGUUAGCAGAAUGAGAAAAUGGCACUGCGUACCAAAUCUGCAUAGCCUGCAAUGAACCUGAUUGAAAUGUGAUCCUUCUUGUGUAGCAGUACACUUUUGACAUGAACGUAAUCAUAGAUGCUGUCCUUACUGUGGCCUUUGUUGUUCCAGGUGCCUGAACGACGCAGCCGCCUGCCUGAACAAUCACAACCACCCGUAUUGAUUUCAAAACUUUGAUAGAUUUUUGCACAACGUGGCCAUGUUUUGUCUGAACAAGUCGUUCAUUUGAUUGGUUAUUAAAUUUUGGCAGUCUGUUCUUAUAUAGCAAAAUGUCUUGUUUGUGGUGCAUCCUGUUGCUGUUGCACUACCUUCAGUGAGUGUACACUCUGUAUCCUGUAGGGAGCAGUAUAUAGGGCGAUUUCAGCGAUGGUGCUAUUCCCAAUCGUCCAGCAUCUGGUUGAUCAUUCUGUCCCAUUUAAUUACUGAGAUAAAUUAGUAUUACCUAACAGCUCCAUGGAAGCAUGCAUGUUAGCCCAGCUCUUGACUGUAUACGGUGGUCAGCUGCAGCUUCUUCCAUAUCUUGCUUGUCUGUAUCUGCAUGCCUGCGUUCAACAAAAAACAAGUCAGUCCACGCAUAGGUUCAACAAAAACCAUUCUACAUAUCUUGUUUGUCAAAAUAUUAAGGAGGAGAAAGGAAAUGGUAUUUUCUUUGGGACAAUAUAUAAUGGUUUUUUUUUCCCGAAAUACAAUACAGACGCGGAUGCUCGUAAAAGAUUGAGCUUCAGAUUUUAAGACGGGCUGUUGUUGAUAGGUAAGUUGUGAAAUAAUUGUGUCUUUAAAUUCUAGUUUAAAUCUAGAAAAACACAAACGCUCACGUUAAGUUGAGAACUAAACCCGAGUCAACAAGUUAGUUUAUUAACAAAUAAUUUAACCAGUUGAGUUACGCUGUUUCAAAAGGAAUUCUGUUCCGAAAUUAUACUAAACUAGAACUGGGACACUGUAGCUAACCCAAGUUAAAAGUCCGUUUUCGGGGCGUUGGUGAACUUGAGUAGGCCAGCUAGGCGCCUGGUAAGCAACUCUUGCAUUUGUACCCGGCCUUACACAAAAAACUGAAAUGAGAUAAUUAAAACCCAACCACAGCCACAGGCCAAUCCAGACACAAUCAAGGGGGAAAACAUUCAAGAGAGAGAGAAAAGAAACAAGCCUUCAUUUUAUACCACCUUAGAGGAAGUAUAAGCCGUCGGAAACUUCUGAUGCAUGCAAUCAUGCGUGAUAUAUAACUAAGUAAAAACAUGCAUCUAAAAUCCAUGUGUUAAUACCAAAUAAACAUGGCCUUUUAUCUCCCUCUAGCUAAUUCAUAUUAUACAGGGAAUAAUCCAAUUCAAUAUAUACAAUAUAACUCUAAAUGAAAUUCGCAUGUUUCAAACACCCCUGGAAAUCUCUGGAAUGUAGUAUGUAUAUAUAUAUAGGGGUGUGGCACUGACGGUACGGUUUCUAAGACAAAGAAAAAA
rnacentral:lncRNA from 1 species